UGCAGCUCCUGGAGCUGUUCGACAGCGAAGACCCUCGAGAGCGUGACUUUCUGAAGACGACUCUCCACCGCAUCUACGGGAAGUUCCUGGGUCUCAGAGCGUACAUCAGGAAACAGAUUAAUAACAUUUUCUAUAGGUUCAUCUAUGAAACAGAGCAUCAUAACGGAAUAGCCGAACUACUGGAAAUAUUAGGAAGCAUCAUUAACGGCUUCGCCUUACCGCUGAAAGAAGAGCACAAAAUCUUCCUUUUAAAAGUUUUGUUACCUUUGCAUAAAGUCAAGUCCCUCAGUGUUUAUCACCCACAGGUACGAUCUGGAG